rnacentral:rRNA from 2 species
AAGGCAGCAGGCGCGCAAAUUACCCAAUCCCGAUACGGGGAGGUAGUGACAAUAAAUACUGAUACGGGGCUCUUUCGGGUCUCGUAAUUGGAAUGAGAACAAUUUAAAUCCCUUAACGAGGAACAAUUGGAGGGCAAGUCUGGUGCCAGCAGCCGCGGUAAUUCCAGCUCCAAUAGCGUAUAUUAAAGUUGUUGCAGUUAAAAAGCUCGUAGUUGAACCUUGGGCCUGGCUGGCCGGUCCGCCUCACCGCGAGUACUGGUCCGGCUGGGCCUUUCCUUCUGGGGAACCUCAUGGCCUUCACUGGCUGUGGGGGGAACCAGGACUUUUACUGUGAAAAAAUUAGAGUGUUCAAAGCAGGCCUUUGCUCGAAUACAUUAGCAUGGAAUAAUAGAAUAGGACGUGCGGUUCUAUUUUGUUGGUUUCUAGGACCGCCGUAAUGAUUAAUAGGGAUAGUCGGGGGCGUCAGUAUUCAGCUGUCAGAGGUGAAAUUCUUGGAUUUGCUGAAGACUAACUACUGCGAAAGCAUUCGCCAAGGAUGUUUUCAUUAAUCAGGGAACGAAAGUUAGGGGAUCGAAGACGAUCAGAUACCGUCGUAGUCUUAACCAUAAACUAUGCCGACUAGGGAUCGGACGGGAUUCUAUGAUGACCCGUUCGGCACCUUACGAGAAAUCAAAGUUUUUGGGUUC